AAAAAAUCGUUUGUCUUUGCCGCGGUCAUGAAGAUGAUUAAGCAUUCGUCAGGAAGUUCUUUGGCACAAUGAUUCUGUUGGUGUUUUUUCUGUGUGUUCUGGCUUACUUUGCACAUACCAGGAAUAUGUUAAGACUAUGCGUACAAUGUGGCAAGGACAGCGAGAUAUACACCAAACGUGUGCUGAUGGAGGCAGGUGCCCCUUACACCACUGAUGUGGACACGCGCCAGUUGCUGGCCAACGUCUUAAAAGAUGACGACCAUUUUUACCUCAACUUGUAAAGGAUUUUAACGAGCUGAUCUUAACCUUUCCUCGAUGUAGCUUGAAAAUGUAAAAAGAGAAAAACUACACGCUUUUCUAAAUUAUUUACAUUUUCUAGUGUCUUUGUCUGUGAAAACACUACAAAUUAAAAUGUAAUAUAUACAUGUAGCCCAACACAUUUCAUCAAUGACUCAAAUGACGUAUUGAUGGGACCCAAACGGGCUUUGCUUAAUUAAACGUUAGUUAAAAAAUCAAUUAUUUAAUCAAUAUUUAAUAAAUACAUCACUCUGUCAUACUUUCCGAAUUUUAUGGUGUUUUAUUUUGAAACUAUAUAUAUCUUAAAAUGAUUUAUGUACAUACAUAAUAAGAAUUAUGAUAUUACUAUAGUAUUAUACUGCAAUUUAAAGUCAGAUCGAAAUAAUGUAAACAGUGUAUUAUAUAUAUUUUUCUGAUGAUAUAUAUAUAUGCAGGGCUUAUAUGUGUAAAUAAAAAACACGAACAUUUG
rnacentral:sRNA from 1 species